UACGUAGGGUGCGAGCGUUGUCCGGAAUUAUUGGGCGUAAAGAGCUCGUAGGCGGUGUGUCACGUCGUUCGUGAAAACCUGCAGCUUAACUGUGGGCGUGCGGUCGAUACGGGCAUCACUGGAGUUCGGCAGGGGAGACUGGAAUUCCUGGUGUAGCGGUGAAAUGCGCAGAUAUCAGGAGGAACACCGGUGGCGAAGGCGGCAUCCUGGACCAACACUGACACUGAGGAGCGAAAGCCAGGGGAGCAAACGGG
rnacentral:rRNA from 1 species